GGCGGCCCCUGGCGGCGAAGGGGACGCUGCAACGCGGAGCGGGAGCACGAGGAGGGAAGGGGCUUGGCAAUGGGCCCCAAAGAGGCCGAGACCCCGGGAGUGCCGGCAGCGCUCUUUAUCACGCCUGGAGGCUCCUGCAGAGCCCCGGAACCGCCCGAACCUCCAGAAAUGCAGGCAGGGUGCACUCCCCAGGGGGUACAACUUUGGCAAUGAGGACUACAGAGGUCCGGGGAGAACCGGAGACCCGAGGAGCAUGAAGGCACUCUGUGACAUCACUGCCUACAAACGCAGGGGCCGGAAUGCAGUGACAGGACACUGCUGGGAGGAAAGUCUCCCAGCGCCUCCGUGUGGGGCUGCCUCCACUCCCAAUACCGUGCGGGGGGACUAGGACGACCCUGGUAAGUCAGCCACAGGAUAUCAGUUCUCAGAAUAGAAGAGAAGCCAGGUCUGGCAGCACCUGAUGAUGGAGGGUUCUAUGUUUUAAUUGCCUGGAGGUUCCAUCCAAAAGCAGUCAGCCAACAGUGCAGUCCGUGAGCAGUGCGGUUACAUCUGUGGCACUGGGAGUGGUGCCUGGCCCUGCACCAAGAAGACCUACUGGUACUGCACGGUGAAAGCAAACUGGGUUCAGCAAAGGAAGCUCCCAUUGCUGCAUGGACAGCAUUUCCAAUUAAUCUUGGAAUGAGAGCCGAGGGCAAGAAGCCAGCGGUGCCUGAGGGAUGCUAAAGAGCCAACCGAUCCAGGGAAACAAAUGCCAGCGAGGGACCCCACAGCAAAGAGACAGACACUGUGAGCAACUCUCCUGUUACCAUGAGGCUUGCGAGGCGUGUGUGCGGGUCUCCGCAUUGGCACCAUCUGCCAAUUCCUCAGGAGGACAGAACAAACCAGUGAGGCAUGAAGAUUAGAUUAUGUAACGCUCGAGGAUUGCUGUUUUCAAAGAGGAAACAAAUGGAAUGAAUUGAUUUGCUUGUCAAAGUCAUGUCACUAAAGGAGAUCUAUUCCCUCCCCUUCUAAGAGGACCUCAUUAAAGAGUGGAAUGAUUUCACAGAUUCAGAAAAUGUGAGACCACAAUCCACUCCAUUCAUAAGAGCAAGUCCACUUUCCAGAGUCACACUCACACAUUCUAUUCUGGUCCCCGGGCCUGAAAAAAUGUCCAUCCAGCUACAACCUAAAGGGUACUGACCUGGUGAGGAACAUAAUUGUCAGCUGCUAGCCAUAAGAUUCAGAGCCGGAGGCCAGGCGUCAUGGCUUAUGCUGGUAAUCCCAGCACUUUGGGAGGCCGAGGUGGGUGGAUCAUGUGAGGUCGGAAGUUCAAGACAGCCUGGCCAACACGGUGAAACCUCGUCUCUACUAAAAAUACAAAAAUUACCUGGGCGUGGUGGCACACACCUGUAACCCCAGCUACUUGGGAGGCCAACGCCUGAGAAUCACUUGAGCCCAAGAGGCAGAGGUUGCAGUGAGCCAAGAUCACACCACCGCACUCCAGCCUGGGGGACAGAGUGAGACGCUGUCUCAAAAAAAUAAAAAUAAAAAAUCAGAACCUGUG
rnacentral:lncRNA from 1 species